rnacentral:rRNA from 1 species
AGUAACGCGUGGGUAACCUGCCUCAUAGAGGGGAAUAGCCUUUCGAAAGGAAGAUUAAUACCGCAUAAGAUUGUAGUACCGCAUGGUACAGCAAUUAAAGGAGUAAUCCGCUAUGAGAUGGACCCGCGUCGCAUUAGCUAGUUGGUGAGGUAACGGCUCACCAAGGCGACGAUGCGUAGCCGACCUGAGGGGGUGGAUCGGCCACAUUGGGACUGAGACACGGCCCAGACUCCUACGGGAGGCAGCAUG